rnacentral:lncRNA from 1 species
GGCAACACUGAUAGAAGCAUAGGUUUUAAAUUCCAUCCUUCUUUUGCAUACAUUGCCACUGGAUCAUAACAGGUUUAUUUAAUUAGUCAAUAAUUAAAGGCUUUAUUUCAUACAAGUGUACAGAAGUUGCUUAGAAAUAAGUUUAAACUCAACAGAUUGACACUGAAACCACACUGAACAAAGAGCCUUUAAAAAGGUUUUAAACUCAACAGAUUGACACUGUAAACCACUACUUGAACAAAGAGCCUUUUAAAAAGUUAUUCUUGGAGAUUCGUACCAAAAUCAGGUGAGGACACUUUUUCAUGGGCAGACAUUCAGGCAGCAGCAGACAUCUGAGGGGGCGGUGGGAUGGAAGUAAAGUGCAGGGAGCUGCUCGGAAAAAGUUACCUGCAAGGACACGACUCAUUCAAAUUCGGAGUGACUGACAAGCCUCCUGGAUAGGUCCCCACAGCAGAAUAUAUUAAGACAUUGUCCAAGAAUGCAGGGAAUGAAAUCAUCAGCAAAAAUGGCAGUCAGUCAAUCUGCUUGUCAUCAUCACUGAUGAAGAAGAAGAGAAGUUAUUUUUCUCAGUUGCCUCACAAAAACACUACAUGAUAUCACCAGCGUCAAAGUACAUCCUGUCAAUCAGAGAUGGUAAACUUAAAUAAUUAAGUUAUUGCUAUGGAUAUUGGUUCCAUAAUUUGAAUUCAAUUAAUUAAUUAAUUAAUUCAAUUAAUCCUUUAUCAAAUUAAAGUAUAAAAUAAGAUCUUACAGUUAUUUUACAGAAAUUCAGUUUAUAGAGGAAGGAUCCUUAUAUAUUAAGGUUUAUUUUGGAUUGGUUUAAAAUAUUUUAGAAAUUCCAUUCAUUCAUUCAUUUAUUUAUUAUUUAGUUGUCAAACGUAUCAAUUUAUCAGUUCUUAUUUAAAACAAAUGUACUACUUUUUUCACACAGCCACAACAUUACAAUGCAUCUGCAAUAAUGACUAUUUGUACUUUGUUUAUUAUUUAGAUGUCAAAGUGGAACACAUCUGAAAUAAAUAAAUAAAUAAAUGUGUAUUUGUUUAUAUUAAUUGGUGAAUUGUAUGAAUUGAUUUACUGUGACAUAUUUAUUCACUGAAACGCAUUUUCAAUAAAUAUUAAUAAGUAAAUAAAUAAAUAAAAUCAAAGAUGGACUAAUUCACAUUCGUGUGCAUGGAAGCAGACCUAUUACGGUACUCAACGUAACAUGCAAGUGUGCUAAGUACAAACAAAGUAACGUCAUCAAACGGCCCAAACAUCGGCG